AACAAUAACAACAAACAAACAGACAACAAAAGAAGACACAUAGAAGGAUAAAAGGCAAAAAGAGCCCUAAGGAGGACCGACUUCCUCCGACUUCGAACUUUCGGCUUCAAUCCUCAUCAGGGAACGCCUUAAGCUCUUGACUUCUUCUUCCAAUUCUUUCUCCCUCAUUAGCAUCUCCACAUACCUCCGAUGAAGCCACUGGCUUUCAUUCUCUGCCUCUCGGUGCUUCUUUCUUAGGACCUCGGAUUCCACCUCUGCAUCCUUGACUGCCUGCCGCUCGUAUACCAGCU
rnacentral:lncRNA from 1 species